rnacentral:rRNA from 1 species
AUUGAACGCUGGCGGCAGGCCUAACACAUGCAAGUCGAACGAGUGGCGGACGGGUGAGUAAUGUCUGGGAACCUGCCUAAUGGAGGGGGAUAACUACUAGAAACGGUAGCUAAUACCGCAUACCAUCGGAUGUGCCCAGAUGGGAUGAGCUAGUAGGGGGGGUAAAGGCUCACCAAGGCGACGAUCCCUAGCUGGUCUGAGAGGAUGACCAGCCACACUGGGACUGAGCCACGGUCCAGACUCCUACGGGAGGCAGCAGUGGGGAAUAUUGGACAAUGGGCGCAAGCCUGAUGCAGCCAUGCCGCGUGUAUGAAGAAGGCCUUCGGGUUGUAAAGUACUUUUGGCGGAGAAGCGUUACCCGCAGAAGAAGCACCGGCUAACUACGUGCCAGCAGCCGCGGUAAUUC